rnacentral:rRNA from 1 species
CUACGGGGGGCAGCAGUGGGGAAUAUUGCACAAUGGGCGCAAGCCUGAUGCAGCCAUGCCGCGUGUGUGAAGAAGGCCUUCGGGUUGUAAAGCACUUUCAGCGGGGAGGAAGGCGGUGAGGUUAAUAACCUCAUCGAUUGACGUUACCCGCAGAAGAAGCACCGGCUAACUCCGUGCCAGCAGCCGCGGUAAUACGGAGGGUGCAAGCGUUAAUCGGAAUUACUGGGCGUAAAGCGCACGCAGGCGGUCUGUCAAGUCGGAUGUGAAAUCCCCGGGCUCAACCUGGGAACUGCAUUCGAAACUGGCAGGCUAGAGUCUUGUAGAGGGGGGUAGAAUUCCAGGUGUAGCGGUGAAAUGCGUAGAGAUCUGGAGGAAUAUCGGUGGCGAAGGCGGCCCCCUGGACAAAGACUGACGCUCAGGUGCGAAAGCGUGGGGAGCAAACAGGAUUAGAUACCCGAGUAGUC